GGGUCAGUAGGUUGGUCGUGCCACCGGUACGUACUGGUCUCACUGACUCCUCCCUCCUGAAGAACCGUAAUGCCAUUAAUUUGGUGUUGCGGGGAAACAGGACUGCUACUUUGAAAAAAUUAGAGUGUUUAAAGCAAGCUAACGCUUGAAUACAUUAGCAUGGAAUAAUGAAAUAGGACGAUCGAUCCUAUUUUGUUGGUUUCUAGGAUUGACGUA
rnacentral:rRNA from 1 species